rnacentral:lncRNA from 1 species
AGAAGAUCCCUGUUUAUCCCAGUGCUUCCUGGCAGUGUGAAGUUGGAUCUGAGACCCUGGGAUGUCUGGGAGUGGAUGUGGGUGGGGCAGGACUUCCAGGCAGAGGGAGCCAUGAGCAGGUGCCAGCAGGAGAGCUCUGGCCCUUCCAGAUUCCUCCAGCUGCAGUAGGACCAUCAGCCGUGAGGAGGGCAGGAUGACCUGGGAGCCCGCAGAGCUGGCCGGGAAGUGGAGACCUGCUCCAGACAGACUGCUCCAGACAGGGCGGAGAGGGUGGGCCUGAUCAGUGUGUUCGACACAUGGUGAUCGAAUCAGCCAGCCGAGUGGGCAGGGGUGCUGUGACCAAGGGGGAUGUGUCCCUGGAACCCUAGCUCUUGCCAGGGUGACUCUACCAUGUGCUGUUAACUCGGGCAGGAGUUCAGAGUGGCAGGUUUUCUGGGGAUGUUCGGGUUGGGUGUGGCUCUGAGUUCUGUGGGAUGCUCCAGGGAGGGAAGUCUUCUGCAGCUCGGGAGCUGGUGGGACCACAGGGGUCAUCCCUGCACGGUAUAGAGCUGGCUCUCACCCCAGAGCAGACCUGGCCAGUGGGGGGUCACGGAAGGCCUGGCCUGGGGCGGGGUUCACCCUGGGGACCUGGGGAGCCAGUGAGGGCCUUGGGGAGUGACUGGGUGUAGCAAGAGGUGGCUGUGUUCCCAGGAGUGUGCAAUCUCCAGCCUCUUCCCUGUGCCCCACCAUGUGCAAAGCGCAGCCACAGGUGCUGUCCCCAUGGGCUCAGGAGACUGAGUUUUAUAGGUGGGGAAACUGAAGACCAAAGAAGUUCAGGUGAGGCCCCAGGAAACAGCCACUUCUCCUCCUAACCCACGUGGUCCCUCCUUGUCCCUCCAUCAUGUGUUCAGGUGGCUCAGUAAUCACGCCUCCCAGAGAUUUGGUUCAAGUGCGUUUAAAAGUAAUGGCAAUAGCUGGGCAUGAUGGCCAAACCUGCAAUCCCAGCAGCUCAGGAAGCCGAGGCAGGAGGAUCAAGUUCAAGUCUGUCUCAGCAAUUUAGUGAGACCCUAAGCAUCCGAGUGAGACCCUAAGUAUCCGAGUGAGACCUUGUCUCUAAGUAAAUACAAAAAAAGGCUGGGGAUGUGGCUCUGUGGUACAGUGCCCCUGGGUUCAACCCUGGUACAAAAAACAAAACAAAAACAAAACAAAACAAAAAUAGUGACACUAACAAGGAAAUCGCUCUGAGGUAGAGGCCUCUGCAGCUGCGCUAAUGCUCAUGGGUUGGAAGUUCAGUGGGCCAACAGGUAAUCACAGCAAAUAUCGGCGAUCACAUGGAUCGAAGGUUGGAAAUAAUUGGAAAUUGAUUUUUCUGUGUGGAAACAGGGAACGUUGAGAAUCAUCCUAGCUGAGCCUUCAUGCAAAGAGGGCAUAAGGCCUUCUUAAGUUCUCAAAGCCACGGUCACAGCUGUGACCCCGAGAACACAGUCAGGUGCUCGAGGCGAAGCUGAAGAUAAGAAGUGGCUCUAUGGUCGCAGAGUGUGCCCAUGCCCACCUCCUGGUGCCCUGCCCACCUCCUGGUGCCCUGCCCACCUCCUGGUGCUCAUGCCCACCUCCUGGUGCCCAUGCCCACCUCCUGGUGCCCUGUCCACCUCCUGGUGCCCUGCCCACCUCCUGGUGCCAUGCCCACCUCCUGGUGCCCUGUCCACCUCCUGGUGCCCAUGCCCACCUCCUGGUGCCCAUGCCCACCUCCUGGUGCCCUGCCCACCUCCUGGUACCCUGCCCACCUCCUGGUGCCAUGCCUACCUCCUGGUGCCAUGCCUACCUCCUGGUGCCCUGUCCAUCUCCUGGUGCUCAUGCC